UCGAGCGGUAGCACAGAGAGCUUGCUCUCGGGUGACGAGCGGCGGACGGGUGAGUAAUGUCUGGGAAACUGCCUGAUGGAGGGGGAUAACUACUGGAAACGGUAGCUAAUACCGCAUAAUGUCGCAAGACCAAAGUGGGGGACCUUCGGGCCUCAUGCCAUCAGAUGUGCCCAGAUGGGAUUAGCUAGUAGGUGGGGUAACGGCUCACCUAGGCGACGAUCCCUAGCUGGUCUGAGAGGAUGACCAGCCACACUGGAACUGAGACACGGUCCAGACUCCUACGGGAGGCAGCAGUGGGGAAUAUUGCACAAUGGGCGCAAGCCUGAUGCAGCCAUGCCGCGUGUGUGAAGAAGGCCUUCGGGUUGUAAAGCACUUUCAGCGGGGAGGAAGGCGAUGAGGUUAAUAACCUUGUCGAUUGACGUUACCCGCAGAAGAAGCACCGGCUAACUCCGUGCCAGCAGCCGCGGUAAUACGGAGGGUGCAAGCGUUAAUCGGAAUUACUGGGCGUAAAGCGCACGCAGGCGGUCUGUC
rnacentral:rRNA from 1 species